rnacentral:rRNA from 1 species
AACGAACGCUGGCGGCAUGCCUAACACAUGCAAGUCGAACGAGACCUUCGGGUUUAGUGGCGCACGGGUGAGUAACGCGUGGGAACCUGCCCUUAGGUUCGGAAUAACUCCCCGAAAGGGGUGCUAAUACCGGAUAAUGUCUUCGGACCAAAGAUUUAUCGCCUUUGGAUGGGCCCGCGUUGGAUUAGCUAGUUGGUAGGGUAAAAGCCUACCAAGGCGACGAUCCAUAGCUGGUCUGAGAGGAUGAUCAGCCACACUGGGACUGAGACACGGCCCAGACUCCUACGGGAGGCAGCAGUGGGGAAUAUUGGGCAAUGGGCGAAAGCCUGAUCCAGCAAUGCCGCGUGAGUGAUGAAGGCCUUAGGGUUGUAAAGCUCUUUUACCCGGGAUGAUAAUGACAGUACCGGGAGAAGAAGCUCCGGCUAACUCCGUG